rnacentral:rRNA from 1 species
AACGAACGCUGGCGGCAUGCCUAACACAUGCAAGUCGAACGCUCCGCAAGGGGAGUGGCGAACGGGUGAGUAACGCGUGGGAACCUGCCCAGUAGUUGGGGAUAACCGCGGGAAACUGCGGCUAAUACCGAAUACGCCCUAAGGGGAAGGAUUAUCGCUAUUGGAGGGGCCGCGUCGGAUUAGCUGGUUGGUGAGGUAACGGCUCACCAAGGCGACGAUCCGUAGCUGGUCUGAGAGGANGAUCAGCCACACUGGGACUUAGACACGGCCCAGACUCCUACGGGAGGCAGCAGUGGGGAAGU